rnacentral:rRNA from 1 species
CAGCAGCCGCGGGAAUACGUAGGUGGCAAGCGUUGUCCGGAAUUAUUGGGCGUAAAGCGCGCGCAGGCGGAUCAGUUAGUCUGUCUUAAAAGUUCGGGGCUUAACCCCGUGGUGGGAUGGAAACUGCUGAUCUAGAGUAUCGGAGAGGAAAGUGGAAUUCCUAGUGUAGCGGUGAAAUGCGUAGAUAUUAGGAAGAACACCAGUGGCGAAGGCGACUUUCUGGACGAAAACUGACGCUGAGGCGCGAAAGCCAGGGGAGCGAACGGGAUUAGAUACCCCAGUAGUCCCUGUCUCUUAUACC